UCUUUUUCUACAGAUGACCCCACGUCUCCGGAAGGGGGAACUGGUCCACCUCCCCAGCCUCAUCGCACAGACGGUCUCCCAGUGUGAAGCAGGAUUUGAGUAAUCGAUGCUGGAGGUAGCAGGGGGUUAAACGGUGCCAUCUCUGUUCCUGAUGGAGGCAGCAGCUUUACCUUCAUUGACUAGUGGAAGAGACGAGGACAGGUCAAYGCUGGAGAUGAGCUGUCUCCAGGGUGAAGCUGAACGCAUUCAACAAAGCUAAGAUCCUGUGAGGAGGUGAAGUGAAGGAUCUUCCUUUCACCAACAAGAAACAAACAGGAAUAAACACCAGCCCAUUUCUCCUCAUCACUGAGCUUUCCUCCUCCCUGACUCAUGGCCAGACACUCCUCACUCCAGGUGACACACUCUGGGCAGCAGGGUGGGUGACCAAAAAACCCAGGAUCCUGACUUCACACUCCAACUAGAGCGGCUGGAUGAAGAGUAUCCAUGCAUAUGAUGCAAAGCAGAUCACACAGACUGACUUCCUCACAGUCAUUGAAGGUGACUCUAAUGACCUUAACACCAUCUCUACCACUCUCAAAGUGUGCAGACUCUGCUGACAGAGUCACAAUGGUGACCUUUGAACUUCAGAUUUGGGUGAAGACCGUGGACAUCCUAAAGCAGGCAAGUCUACCGGUCAUUGCAAGGUUGGUGAAUUUCACUGCUUGAACCAAUGGGUAACAUCAUGCAGGAUUCUGGACUACUAGAGGUGUUUUCAUUGAUUUAUUCUGGAAGUACGACAGGUAAUCUGUGCUCCCUUCCUCAUCAAUGCAGCCAUCUAUCAGCACAUCACGAAACUGUCAUUGCAGUCAUYGAGGAGGAACGUGGUGACAUAAGGACCACCUUCAUGGAGAAGUUGGCUGAUGGGAGCUAUGCACACAUAGUAUUUGCAGUAUUUGAGYAGACAUUUGAAGAAAUCUUCAAACAACUCACAAAAGACGGAAGAACACCUGCACUCUGAGUACAGUACCAACACAUGGUAGAGGUGAUCAAGGUCUUUAUCAGAACCAAGCAAGUUGCAGACCACAAUGGGCAUCUCUCGUGCAUUAUUAACAAGAUGCUUGACAUCUUUGCUGCUGAAGGYCAUCAUCAAUACACCAAGGGUGCAUGGCUGUACUUUCAACUCAUCAAGGAUGUCAAAACUUUACCUACUUACAAAGACACAUUAGAAAACAUUUCACUGCCCACAGAAAGGCACUGACAGGUACUCCUCCCCUGAGUGGUCUGGCACUUGGUGUAACAUCUGCAUUGAGCAGACAUCAAUGAAGGCAGCGAGGUCAGACGGUGGACUGAGCAGAGAAAGAUUGAGAAACUGUUUCUGGCUAGAAGUGCUGGGUGCUCACCCUCAGUCACCUCUCUGACAUCAACCAGUGGAUGAAGACAUCAGGAAACAUGUUCCACUACAGAGGGUUAGGGUUAGACACAGACGAAGYGAAAAGCAGAGGCAUUUGAACCUGCCCUACAGAACAUGCCAUUCAACAAUGGCUAAGACAAUGAGAUGUGCAUGUCUUUCUUUACAGGAUUCACAAGCACAGUAGAUGACUUGGUCAAUGCUGAGAGAGCAGCUGAAGUAGGGACAGAGAUGCAGACAAAGCCGCAUGGGGAGUGGUGGUGCAGAGGUUAGAGAAGGUGACCCUGUGAUUGGAAGACCAUUCGUUCAACUCCCCGGACUGACCAGCCCCACUUUGGGCCCUUGAAUGAGAAAUAAUUCAGAAUUAUAGAUGUAUGUGUGAAACGAAGAGAAAUGAUCAUUUAAUAAUAAUAAAAAAAUAAUAACUAAACUGUAAGCUAGUGAUUCUGAUUGUAUUUAGACCAGCAGCGAAGACUUUGCUGGCCCUGACAGCCCACCACUGAUAUGUGAAAUAAAAGCUAUUUUGAAUGUAAAA